rnacentral:rRNA from 1 species
CCUUNGGGUGGCAGCAGUCGAGGAUUUUUCUCAAUGGGGGAAACCCUGAAGGAGCGACGCCGCGUGAGGGAUGAAGGUCUUCGGAUUGUAAACCUCUGUCAUCUGGGAACAAUGUAAUCUACCUAACACGUGGAUUAUUGAUAGUACCGGAAGAGGAAGCAGUGGCUAACUCUGUGCCAGCAGCCGCGGUAAUACAGAGACUGCAAGCGUUGUUCGGAUUCAUUGGGCGUAAAGGGUGCGCAGGCGGUGUGUUAAGUCGGAUGUGAAAUCUCACAGCCUAACUGUGAUAGGUCAUUCGAAACUGGCAUGCUAGAGGACUGGAGAGGAGACUGGAAUAGUCGGUGUAGCGGUGAAAUGCGUAGAGAUCGACUAGAACACCGGUGGCGAAGGCGGGUCUCUGGACAGUUCCUGACGCUCAGGCACGAAAGCCAGGGGAGCAAACGGGAUUAGAUACCCCANUANUC